rnacentral:rRNA from 1 species
UACGUAGGGUGCAGGCGUUAAUCGGAAUGACUGGGCGUAAAGGGCGCGUAGGCGGUUUGUCGCGUCUGCUGUGAAAACCCGAGGCUCAACCUCGGGCCUGCAGUGGGUACGGGCAGACUAGAGUGCGGUAGGGGAGAUUGGAAUUCCUGGUGUAGCGGUGGAAUGCGCAGAUAUCAGGAGGAACACCGAUGGCGAAGGCAGAUCUCUGGGCCGUAACUGACGCUGAGGAGCGAAAGCGUGGGGAGCGAACAGG